rnacentral:misc_RNA from 1 species
GAUGAAGAACGUAGCGAAAUGCGAUAAGUAGUGAGAAUUGCAGAAUUCAGUGAAUCAUCGAAUCUUUGAACGCACAUUGCGCCCCUUGGUAUUCCAUGGGGCUUGCCUGUUCGAGCGUCAUUUGUACCUUCAAGCUUUGCUUGGUGUUGGGUGUUUGUCCCUCGGGACUCGCCUUAAAGUCAUUGGCAGCCAGUGUUUUGGUUUUGAAGCGCAGCACAAGUCGCGAUUCAAGGCUAUCCGCCCGCUUCCACAAGCCUUUUUCACUUUUGACCUCGGAUCAGGUAGGGAUACCCGCUGAACUUAAGCAUAUCAAUAAGCGGAGGA